AACGAACGCUGGCGGCAGGCCUAACACAUGCAAGUCGAGCGCCCCGCAAGGGGAGCGGCGGACGGGUGAGUAACACGUGGGAAUUUUCCUCAAGGUACGGAACAACUCAGGGAAACUUGGGCUAAUACCGUAUGAUGCAGAGAUGCCAAAGAUUUAUCGCCUUGGGAUAAGCCCGCGUCAGAUUAGGUUGUUGGUGGGGUAAUGGCCUACCAAGCCUGUGAUCUGUAGCUGGUCUGAGAGGACGAUCAGCCACACUGGGACUGAGACACGGCCCAGACUCCUACGGGAGGCAGCAGUGGGGAAUCUUGCGCAAUGGGCGAAAGCCUGACGCAGCCAUGCCGCGUGAAUGAUGAAGGUCUUAGGAUUGUAAAGUUCUUUCGCCCGUGACGAUGAUGACGGUAACGGGAGAAGAAGCCCCGGCUAACUUCGUGCCAGCCGCCGCAGUAAAAC
rnacentral:rRNA from 1 species